AUACGGAGGGUGCAAGCGUUGUUCGGAAUCACUGGGCGUAAAGGGCGCGCAGGCGGUUUGGUAAGUCAGAUGUGAAAGCCCACGGCUCAACCGUGGAAGUUCAUUUGAAACUGCCAGACUUGAGUACCAGAGGGGAAAGUGGAAUUCCCGGUGUAGAGGUGAAAUUCGUAGAUAUCGGGAGGAAUACCGGUGGCGAAGGCGACUUUCUGGCUGGAUACUGACGCUGAGGCGCGAAAGCGUGGGGAGCAAACAGGAUUAGAAACCCUAGUAGUCC
rnacentral:rRNA from 1 species